GACGAACGCUGGCGGCGUGCUUAACACAUGCAAGUCGAACGGCAAGGCCCUGCUUUUGUGGGGUGCUCGAGUGGCGAACGGGUGCGUAACACGUGAGUAACCUGCCCUUGACUUUGGGGUAGCUUAAGGAAAGGGGGCUUACUCUAGGAUCGCAUACCAUCUACGGGGGUGGGGAUGGGAACGUUUCGGCGGGUGGGGUUGAAUGAGCGGAUUUCCGGUUAGUUGGUGGGGUAGGGGCUGACCAAGUCUGUGACGGGUCGGCGGCCUGUGAGGGGGACCGGCCACAUUGGGACUGAGAGACGGCCCAGACUGCUACGGGAGGCAGCAGGGGGGAAUAUUGCACAGUGGGCGGGAGCCUGAUGCGACGGCGCCGCGGUCGGGAUGACGGCCUGUGGGGUGUAAACCGCUUUCGCCUGUGACGAAGCGUGAGUGACGGUAAUGGGUAAAGAAGCACCGGCUAACUACGUG
rnacentral:rRNA from 1 species